GGGUUAGUGGUCUAGUGGUAUGAUUCUCGUUUAGGGUGCGAGAUGUCCCGGGUUCAAUUCCCGGCUAACUCC
rnacentral:tRNA from 1 species